UACGUAGGGUGCAAGCGUUGUCCGGAAUUAUUGGGCGUAAAGAGCUCGUAGGCGGUCUGUCGCGUCGGCUGUGAAAACCCGAGGCUCAACCUCGGGCCUGCAGUCGAUACGGGCAAACUAGAGUACUGCAGGGGAGACUGGAAUUCCUGGUGUAGCGGUGAAAUGCGCAGAUAUCAGGAGGAACACCAGUGGCGAAGGCGAGUCUCUGGACAUUUCCUGACGCUGAGGCACGAAAGCCAGGGGAGCAAACAGG
rnacentral:rRNA from 1 species